GCCGAAAAUUCUGCUGAACAUCAACCCAAAGCGCUCAAGGGGACCUUCAAGAAGAACUCGAAGUGGACGCCUAGACACUUGUUUGAGUAUUACUCUCUUGUUGCUAUAGGGUUCGAGACCAAGGGUGCUCGUGAGUAGUA